GUACUGCUGUUGUUAAUUCAGGACAACCAAAUGUAACUGAAAUGAAAUGCUUUGGAACAGAAGAGAAUGAUCUAGGGGUGACCUAUGAGGUCAUAAAAGAUGUCACUGACCAACAGAACAAUGAAUGUAACACCCUUCCUGCAAGAAAGAUGUACUUGAAAAUAAAACCAGGUGAAGAGGCUACCUAUGAUGUCAUACAAGAUGACAAUGCUGAACAGAACAAAAAACAUGGCACAGUA